UAGGGAAUCUUCCACAAUGGGCGAAAGCCUGAUGGAGCAACGCCGCGUGAGUGAUGAAGGUUUUCGGAUCGUAAAACUCUGUUGUUAGGGAAGAACACCCGAGAGAGGAUCUCGGACUGACGGUACCUAACGAGAAAGCCCCGGCUAACUACGUGCCAGCAGCCGCGGUAAUACGUAGGGGGCAAGCGUUGUCCGGAAUUAUUGGGCGUAAAGCGCGCGCAGGCGGCUUAUUAAGUCUGAUGUGAAAGCCCACGGCUCAACCGUGGAGGGCCAUUGGAAACUGGUAGGCUUGAGUGCAGGAGAGGAGAGCGGAAUUCCCGGUGUAGCGGUGAAAUGCGUAGAUAUUAGGAGGAACACCAGUGGCGAAGGCGACUUACUGGACUGUAACUGACGCUGAGUCACGAAAGCGUGGGUAGCAAACA
rnacentral:rRNA from 1 species